GCAGGAAGUGCUUGCACUUUGCUGACGAGUGGCGGAVGGGUGAGUAAUGCUUGGGAACUUGCCUUUGCGAGGGGGAUAACAGUUGGAAACGACUGCUAAUACCGCAUAAUGUCUACGGACCAAACGGGGCUUAGGCUUCGGCGCAGAGAGAGGCCCAAGUGAGAUUAGCUAGUUGGUGGGGUAAAGGCUCACCAAGGCGACGAUCUCUAGCUGUUCUGAGAGGAAGAUCAGCCACACUGGGACUGAGACACGGCCCAGACUCCUACGGGAGGCAGCAGUGGGGAAUAUUGCACAAUGGGGGGAACCCUGAUGCAGCCAUGCCGCGUGUGUGAAGAAGGCCUUCGGGUUGUAAAGCACUUUCAGUUGUGAGGAAAAGUGAGUAGUUAAUACCUGCUCACCGUGACGUUAACAACAGAAGAAGCACCGGCUAACUCCGUGCCAGCAGCCGCGGUAAUACGGAGGGUGCGAGCGUUAAUCGGAAUUACUGGGCGUAAAGCGCACGCAGGCGGUUUGUUAAGCUAGAUGUGAAAGCCCCGAGCUCAACUUGGGAUGGUCAUUUAGAACUGGCAGACUAGAGUCUUGGAGAGGGGAGUGGAAUUCCAGGUGUAGCGGUGAAAUGCGUAGAUAUCUGGAGGAACAUCAGUGGCGAAGGCGACUCCCUGGCCAAAGACUGACGCUCAUGUGCGAAAGUGUGGGUAGCGAACAGGAUUAGAUA
rnacentral:rRNA from 1 species